rnacentral:tRNA from 1 species
GAGGGUAUAGCUCAAGUGGUAGAGUGCAUGCUUAGCAUGCUACAGGCCCUAGGUUCAAUUCCCAGUACCUCCU